rnacentral:lncRNA from 1 species
AUCAAAACCCCUAUCACAUAAUUGACUUAUGCUAAGUAAGUUAUGCUUAAGACCAUCUACAAAUCGUACAUUAUCAACAAAGAUUGAGGAGGUGAUUUGUACUUUACCUAUACCAACGAUGUGACCUUGGUUAUUGUCUCCAAAUGUCACAGAACCUUCCUUUUUUGGCUCUAGGGCGAAGAAUUGCUCCUUGUCACCCGUCAUGUGUCUUGAGCAGCCACUAUCCAAGUACCAACAGUUUUUGUCGACUUUGGCUGCAAGAC